rnacentral:lncRNA from 1 species
UUAGAGGGGCUGUGUCGUCGUCCGAACUGAGGGAGAACGGAGGAGGGAGAGGGGAUUGGCGACGGCGGCGGUGGCCUGAUGCUCCUGCUGCCCGUCGAUCCAGAGAGGGUGAGAGUGGCGGUGGCGGGUAGCUACUGCUGCUGCUCUCCGGCUGAAACAGAGGGAGUGGGGCGACGAUGUCAGAGAGAAUGAGGGAGGCGGCGAUGGCGGUGGUCCGGCUGACCGCUGUUUUCGGCUGAAGCAGAGGGGGCGGUUCCGGCGGUUACGUCGCCGGAAAUCGAAGGAAAGAGAACCUAGGGUUGCUGAUUUGGGAAAUUUUUGUGAGGGAAGAGAUAAGGGGGACGAGCGAGAGAGCGAAAGUCGGGAGAAGGAAGGAAAGUCAGAGGGAGCGGCGGCGGCGGCACUCGCCGGCCGUCUGUCGACGGGAAAUUGAGAGAAAAGGGGGAGAGUUUCAUUAGCUACUUCAUCUGGUUCAGUUUUGAGAAUGAAAGAACGGGGUUUGAGUGAUUUUGAUGAGGGGAAGAAGGUGGUGGUGGCAGCUGGUGGCGAUUUCGCCGGGAAUGGAAGGCGGCGGCGUCGACAGGAGAGAAGAGGAAAAGAGAGAGAGACCGAAGGGGAGAGUGAGAGAGUGUCUGUGUGUGUACGUUGAGAAAAAGGAGAAGAAAGGAGAGAUUGAAGAAGGUGAGUUGGGCUCUAGCUUUGGGCCUUUAAUUUUAUUAAGUGGGCUGCAUUUUUUAUAACUUGGGCUUCAUGCAUAUAUUUCUAUUGGGCUGCAUGUUUAUUUGUUUGGUUAUAUGUUUUAAUUAUAAGUUAAAGUCUUACAAAUAUUUGUAAGCAAAAUAUUUUUAAGUUGAUUUUAUGCUCAAGAUGAGUUUUUAAGUAAAAGCCGAGCAAGGAUAUUAUUGAAAUCCUUAGCCAAGAAAAAUGAUUUUCAAGUUUUAUGUUGAAUUUUUGAAAAUCCGGGUGUUGCGAAUCUAGUUAGAAAUGAUGACAAGUCAUGAAGGUUAAGCUUGAUUUUAGGACUAUGAGUUUAAGUUGAGAACUUAUCUUGUAGGUCCUACAGAAGAGGAUAUUUAGGCUCUUGUUCAGCUGAGUUAUUUGUUUGGAUUUUCUCCAAAUCAGGUGAGGCUUUAUUUACGAAAUGUAUGUUUGAGCUAAUAAGCUCGGUUUUAUGUAAAGUUAAAGAUGAUGGUUCAUGCUUAAAAUGUUUUUGCUCUCUAUUGGUUACUGCUUCUACCAGAACAUUGUUGGCUCCGCCAACCAGAACAUUGUUAGCUCUGCUAACCAGAAUUGUGUACGUACACCAGAACCUGUUGUCUCGAGAGAUCGGUGACAACCAGUUGUAGAUAGCAUGCCCAAUAGAUGGCCAGGAAAAUAUGAGCUCAGAUUAUUUUAGUAUGCAUGGAAUGACUCGUCUUUAAAAACAUUCUGUGUUAUACUGUUUAAAGGCAUGAAUUAUCUUUUUCAGUAAAUGAUUUUUAAAAUGUUUUUAAAUGGCUCAACCCACUGAGUACACUAGUACUCAGCCCUGCAAUUGUUUUCAAAACCUUUUGCAGAUUGAGCAGCUAGUGGUGACGUGCGAGGCUGAGGAAGGGUUGUUGCUGUGGAUUCUGAAGAAAUACUGCGUUUACUUCUCCUAAAAUAAAUUCACUUAGUGAAUAUUAUCUGAUGCCUAAUUAUAUUAAUACUUUUAUUCAUAUUUCUAAUAUGAAUUUCAUUCUCCAUCACUUUUCUAGCGAUUGUUUUUCGCAUCUAUUAUAUGCUUAGUAUGAGACGUUGUUUUGGUCUCAGACCUUCGAACUUCCGAUCCUGAUAGGGAGAAUAAUUAUGUUAUAAUGUCGUACUUGUUUUCAUUUAAAUACGGCAUAAUGUCCAACCCUCAGGGCACAUUACCUAUUUUAUUCAAGUAAAGCUUAGUAGUCCUGUCACAUAGCCCAUUUCUUAUUCUCCCGGGAAAUCAGGGCUGUCACAAAUGGUAUCAGAGCAAAGGUUCUUGGCUCUGAGACCGCUAUUUCAUUGAUGUUGAGUCUAGAAUAACAUCUCUAGACUUCUAAGCUACACAACAACCCUCAGCUCGCCUUCACACCGCCCUCAAGAAAGAAAGGUACGCGAUUUUAACAAAUUUUACUUAAAGUGCGUACAAGUAUUUAAAGUGGUUUUAAAAGCAAUAGUUCUUGUUAAAAGAAAAUAUUUCAGUUUGUUGUAUUAUUUUACAACCAGAUUCCCAGAAAGAUGUUAUUUUGAGCUUUAGCUUGAAUAACCAGAAAGUUUGUCAUGUUUGUAUGACCAGAAAGAUUUGUCAUAUUCAUUUAUAUGACCAGAAAGUUGUCAUAUCUUUAUGACCAGUAUUUGAGCUUUGACUCGCCUCAGUUAUCAGUUCAUGCAUGUGUAAUUUUCUCGUAGUUAGAGAAAUACACUAGAUAAUAGCAUGAUAAUCUUAUGAGAUAGACUCCUAGCAUGAAGCGCUAGAAGAAUCAAGAAAAAGUUAGAGUGCUCUACAGAAAUACGUAUAACUUAGAAAGCUCGAAUAGAAAGAUAGAACGAAGCAAGAUAGAACAUAGAAAGACAUCAUACAAAGAGAUAGAACAUAGAAAGACAUCAUACAAAGAGAUAGAACAUAGAAGUUCAGAAUUUAGAAAGAUAGAUCGCAAAAGACAAAGAGAAUAGAAGAAGAAGACAUAGAAGGAUGAGCUGAAGACAAACAAAACGACGAGUGAAUUGUUCCACGCAAUCUACAAGUAUGAAAGACUCAAGACUUCACAGUAACGUGUACCAAUCACUAAAGAAAUGUGGAAGAGAACUACUGCAACUUCACCACAAGCUGACAAGAAUUUGAAGCUACGAGAAGCAGGAAUGCCCCACAAUAUAGUAGGGUUACCUGUUAUAUAUAUUCUAAACGUAAACCUUUAUUUCAUUUCGAGCCCGACGCUUUUGGAAUAUAUAUAUAUAAGUAAAUUCUUUGAAGAGCAUUAUUUUUCAUGUUCAAAAGCCCUAAUACUUUUUGGAAUAUAUAAUCCUUGGAAAGACCUUAUUUUGCUCCUUGAAGCCUUUUUUUGGAAGCAUAUGAUACAUAGGUUUCAUACCUUGAUAUGCCAAUCUUCAUUCAUAUUUUAAUAUGUGUUGUUAUUUUUUUUAGCGCAACACACCUAGUUAUUUUUGCUCAUAUACUUAUGAUAUCAAUAAGCUUUCACUAACCAAGUUGUUUCUACAGAAUGGCUGGAGAAGAAGAAAGGGUACCUAACGCUGAAGAACCUGUGCUACAAGCCGCACAACGCAGAGCGAGUGAAAGGUUCCGCAAGCACAAUCCACCCACCUUCAAUGGAAUGGGAGAUCCAAUGGAUGCAGAAAAAUGGAUACGAUCCUUAGAGCGAAUCUUCGACUUCAUGGGUCUUACUGACAAAGAGCGUUUGACAUGUGCUAUCUUUCAACUAACAGACGAGGCUGACUAUUGGUGGGAGUCGGUGCAGAGGACGUUANNNNNNNNNNNNNNNNNNNNNNNNNNNNNUUAUUAUUAUUAUUAUUAUUAUUAUUAUUAUUAUUAUUAUUAUUAUUAUUAUUAUUAUUAUUAUUAUUAUUAUUAUUAUUAUUAUUAUUAUUAUUAUUAUUAUUAUUAUUAUUAUUAUUUUAUUUUUUCAAUGUCAAAAUAGAAGACACAUUGUCCUACUGUUAUUAAAUAUUGUGUUGAAGAUUGUUGGGUCCCGGAGGGCAAUUGAACUGGCGUAUGGGGGGGGAAUAUACCAGUAGACUAUUUUUUAGAAAAUCUUCUUUAGAACUGAAAGAGUAUCAACUGAUACCGAAAUGUUUGGAUUGAAAGACAACAGUCAAGGACUGUUUCAUUUAAAAUAGGGGUGUAGACUGAUACUGGAAUGACUUCAGUAUUUUGAUUUCAGUCAAGCACAAAGCUUUGACUGAUAAUCCACGUAAGGUUUCAAUCUAUAAUUUGAAAUCAGAUAAGUGUUAUGAAUCUUACUGAUUAUCCAAGGAUUUGUCAGUUAGACUAAUAACACUAGCAGCAGAAAUUAAACUUAAGAAAUAACCUUUGUGAUUAACACUUUGUCAGAUCAAUUUCAGUUAAGUAAAGAGUUUGUGCACAACAAUGAAAGUAAAUACUGAAAGCGAUAAGCAACACGAGAUUUUUAAAACCUUAAAUUGAAACAAGGUUUCAGUACCAAUUCUCGGAUUGGACUUCUCAUCUUCUUCUCAGGUCAUAGUUGCAAUGACUACACUCGCCUUGCUUGCGGGGGCUAAGAUCUCUUGAGUUCAGACAACAGUCUAGAACUCUCUCUCUCAAACUCUAUUUUUCCUCUUUUGAAAAGGGGUUCGAAAUACCAACAGGAUUACAGAGAAUAUGCUCUCUGUAAUCAAAGACUUAGGCUAGGGAUUUUAUAAUGUAAUUGCCUAAGGAUGUAAGAGAAUUUUGGUAAUCAGUAAACUGAUUUGAACAUGGAAUAUUAUCUUCUUCAAUUCAAACUUUGGAUAGCAAUAAAAUGGCUGAGUCGCAAAUUUGACAGAGGUUCAGNNNNNNNNNNCUCGAGCUCUAUAUUGUAAUACCCCAAGUUUUCCUCAAUAUGAUUUUAGAAGAAUGAUUGGGUUUAGAAUUAAGUCGAUUCGCACCCCGGAGAAAAUUUGUUUUAAUUCAGAUAAAUGGUUUGUUAAAAUUUUAAGGCAAAUUUGUCAAUGGGCCUUAUUUGAUUAUGAUGUGGGAUCAUUNUUUUUUUAGUGGGCCGAGUUGUUAUUUGGAGGCCCAAACCCAUUGCUAUUAUAGAUAUUUUCAUUAAGGAUUUAUGGAAGGGGGUUAAUCCACGUUGCCAAUUUCCUUCUACAAACUCACUCGAGCUCUGCACCGAGGAUCAGCAGUAGAGCUCUUCUCUUCCUCAAUCAUCCAUCAUAUUCUUAUCUAAUCAUCCACAUACAACAACCCACAAAAAUCAACCAUCAUCAAGAAAUCGAAAGUCUAUUCCCAACCACAGUUCAUUAUAUUCUUUUUGCCACUCAAUCACAUCUCUUUGAUGAAGAACUCUAUUCUAUAGCAAAAUCCUUGAGAAAAGGUUUGAUCUUACACCAUCUAUUCAUGACUUAUAUACUGUUUUCACUACUUCACAAAGAAGCUAUCUUUUUCAUGCUUUUGUUGGCGUGUGUGUGUAUGUGUGCUGCUGUGUGCGUGAGUUCUUAGAGCUGUCGUCGUCGUUGUGGCGAGACGGGCAGGUCGGGAUCGAGAGAGAACAGGGGAGGAUCGGCGGCGGCAGCGGCCUGAUGCUUCUGCUUGCGACUGCCGUAAAUGGAGAGAGAGAAAGGGGAGACGGCUGGACGGUGGGGCUGUUCAGCGGUGGGACCGGCGGCGGCGGUGGAGGCGGCUUGUGACUCCUACUGUCCGUCGGUCAAGAGAGAAAGAGAUGGGUGGUGCUGCUAUCGUUCGGAGAGGAGUCAGCAGAGCUGCUGCUGCUGUUGACGGCGGUGGUCCGGUUGGCUGUGGCUGCCGUUCGAAGAAUCAGAGGAGGAGAGAGGCGGCGAUGGCGGCGGUCCGGCUGACUGCUGCUGUCGGUUGGAGUAGAGGGGUCAAGUCCGGCGGUAACCUCGCCGGAAAUCGAAGAGGAGAGAGAAGCUAGGGAUUUUUGGGGGUUCGGUGAAUUGAGGGAGGAGGGAGAAAGACAGAGAAAGAUGAGGGCGGCGGUGGUACGCCGGCGUCGCGCCGGCGAAUUUGUAGGCGGCGGCGGCGACGUGAGAUGAGAGGAAGGGAGAGAGAAAGUGGCGAGAAGGAGAGAGAGACCGAAUGGGAGAGUGAGAGUGAGGUCUUGUGUCUGUGUGUGUGCGUGAGAAAAAGGAGAAGAAAGGAGAGGUUGAUGAGUUGAGUUGGGCUGGGUAUUUUUUUUUAGUUGGGCUUAUAGUUGGGCCGUUUUUUUUUUAUUAAGUGAGCUGCAUUGUUUUUAAUUUGGGCCUUUAAUUAUUUUGGGCUGCAUGUUUAUUUGUUUGGUUACAUGUUUUUAUUAAAAAGUUAAAGUCUUACAAAUGUUUGUAAGCAAAAUAUUUUUAAUUUGAUUUUAUGCUCAAGAUGAGUUUUUAAGAAAAGUCGAGCAAGGGUAUUAUUGAAACUCUUAGCCAAGAAAAAUGAUUUUUAAGUUUUAUGUUGAAUUUUUGGAAACCCGGGUGUUGCGAAUCUAGUUAGAAAAUGAUGACAAGUCAUGAAGGUUAAGCUUGAUUUUAGGACUAUGAGUUUAAGUUGAGGACUUAUUUUGUAGGUCCUACAGAAGAGGAUAUUUAAGCUCUUGUUCAGCUGAGUAAUUUGUUUGGAUUUCUCCAAAUCAGGUGAGGCUUUAUUUACGAAAUGUAUGUUUGAGCUAAUAAGCUCGGUUUUAUGAAAUGUUAAAGUUGAUGGUUCAUGCUUAAAAUGUUUUUGCUCUCUAUUGGUUAUUGCUUCUACCAGAAUAUUGUUGGCUCUGCCAACCAGAACAUUGUUAGCUCUGCUAACCAGAAUUGUGUACGUACACCAGAACCUGUUGUUUCGAGAGAUCGAUGACAACCAGUUGUAGAUAGCAUGCCCAAUAGAUGACCAGGAAAAUAUGAGCUCAGAUUAUUUUAGUAUGCAUGGAAUGACUCACUUUAAAAACAUUCUGUGUUAUACUGUUUAAGGCAUGAAUUAUCUUUUUCAGUAAAUGAUAUUUAAAAUGUUUUUAAAUGGCUCAACCCACUGAGUACACUAGUACUCAGCCCUGCAAUUGUUUUCAAAACCUUUUGCAGAUUGAGCAGCUGGUGGUGACGUGCGAAGCUGAGGAAAGGUUGUUGCUGUAAUAUUGAAGAACACUCUGUUUUACUUCCGCUGAAAUAAAUUCACUUAGUGAAUAUUAUCUGAUGCCUAACUAUAUUAAUACUUUUAUUCAUAUUUAUAAUAUGAAUUUCAUUCUCCAUCACUUUUCUAGCGAUUGUUUUCCCGCAUCUAUUAUAUGCUUUGUAUGAGACGUUGUCUUGGUCUCAGACCUUCGAACUUCCGAUCCUGAUAGGGAGAAUAAUUAUGUUAUAAUGUCGUACUUGCUCUCAUUUAAAUACGGCAUAAUGCCAACCCUCAGGGCGCAUUACAUAUUUUAUUCAAGUAAAGCUUAGUAAUCCUGUCACAUAGCCCAUUUCUUUUUCUCCCGGGAAAUCGGGGC